rnacentral:rRNA from 1 species
UACGGAGGAUCCGAGCGUUAUCCGGAUUUAUUGGGUUUAAAGGGUGCUCAGGCGGGAGAUUAAGUCGGCGGUGAAAUUUUGCAGCUCAACUGUAAAAGUGCCUUCGAAACUGGUUUCCUUGAGUGUAGAUGAAGUAGGCGGAAUUUGUGGUGUAGCGGUGAAAUGCAUAGAUAUCACGAGGAACUCCGAUUGCGCAGGCAGCUUACUAAACUACUACUGACGCUCAGGCACGAAGGCGUGGGGAUCAAACAGGAUUAGAUACCCCUGUAGU